rnacentral:rRNA from 1 species
UACGUAGGGUGCAAGCGUUAUCCGGAAUUAUUGGGCGUAAAGAGCUCGUAGGCGGUUUGUCGCGUCUGCUGUGAAAACUGGAGGCUCAACCUCCAGCCUGCAGUGGGUACGGGCAGACUAGAGUGCGGUAGGGGAGAUUGGAAUUCCUGGUGUAGCGGUGGAAUGCGCAGAUAUCAGGAGGAACACCAAUGGCGAAGGCAGAUCUCUGGGCCGUAACUGACGCUGAGACGCGAAAGCGUGGGGAGCAAACAGG